CGUGUUCAGCCCGACCCCCCGGGGCUGAACCCCGACGGCCCCAGCCUCCUCCCCCCCCGGCUGGGGCCGUCCUCU
rfam:Nocardia nova SH22a, complete genome.